GCCGUGACUGCCACAGGCCCUCGCCUGGGUUCAUGUCGUGGUGAGCCGGUCUUCUUCAUCCAGGCCUUCGAGGUCCCAGGCCUUUGCCAGGAUGCUGCUGCUAAGAGGGCGCCAAAGGCGACGCGCCGGCGACCAGCUCCUGGCCGAGCCCCGGGGCCUGCAGGAACCCGCCCUUCCCCCCAACCCCGCGCGGGCCGCUGAGGCCUCGGGACCUGAGCCUGGAGAACUCGGCCCCAGGGCGCCGCCUAGAGGUCGGUCGCGGCCUCGGCCUUCCUCCCCGGCGACCACAGAGCUGCCUGCGCCAGCUGCCGCCAGAAAUUACAAACAAAACAAAAACAAAACUAAUUCCAAGCUUGGCCCGGAGGCUAGGCUUUUGGCACCUCUGACUUUUCCGAAACGGCUCCCCCUCUGCCCUAUAAGAAAGGACCUGUGUUCUGCGCUGCCUCUUAUGAUCUAAAGCUGUCCAGCCCCUCCAGUGGUGCUAGAACUGCUUUCUCUUCAAGGAAGAAGAGAAGCCAGAAGUCCCUGAAUCUUGCAGCUUGGCCAUCGAUUUUCUGACUAAUUUGGAGAUGGACGUGUUUUUGGAAGAGUAUUUGGAAAACCUUUGGGGGUGAAAAAGAAGUUCCUCCGUGGCCUCUGCUCGCUGAGUAACCGAGCUCAGUGAUGCAGUGAACACUGCUCUGGAAUUUGAAAGUUGGCUGCUCUGGGGCCAGGUGACCCUGAACAGAUACAGUGGGCACCUGUAGAAAGGGUCUGAGGGUCUGUUGGCUCUGUGCAGACUUUAAAUUUUCAGACUGAGCAGUGGCCUGGGCUCUGGGGAUGAGGGCUGGGAAGGCAAAAGCUCCUAAAAAUGCUCGCAAAGUGUGUGCGUGCGCCACAGGUGUGAUGCACAAAAGCUGUGGUGUCUUCCAUUUUUCCAGAACCCCAGGGAGUGGCAGAGACCAAGCUGCCAGGAGGGGAUGUAAACCGUUUGAAGUUCAUCAACACGGUGAAGUUUUAUUGGAUUUCCGGUCCCCAAGAUUUAUACCCAAGAGGGGGAGUGGGCGGCCAGGCAGACUCCUCCUUACCUCGGGGUUUCCCUGCCGGACACGUGGCCGCUCGGACUGUCGCCUCUGGGACAAGGCAGGAGGGGGCCAGGGUGCCCUGGAUGGACUGGCUCGAGCAAUGCACCUGGUAACUGGCAACGGCGGAGUCGCGGUCCCCACCCCCUCAGGUGAGGUGCUGUCUGUGGAGCUCGGGUAUGUGGUGUCUGUACACGGUGAGGCACGGGGGGGGGGGGGGACACGGGUGGCAGGGGAGAGGGCCCAGUCUGUAGGGGAGGAGGAGGAAGAAGCGCACAUGUGCCCUGGGUCCCGGUCCCAGUGCCUCUUGUCACCUGGGGCAGCUCCUCAGGUCUGUGCCGCCGCCGCCGAGCCCCAGACCUUUCUGCAGCCUGAUUUCUGUCCAUCCAAGUCACUCUGCUGCCCCUCUCCGAAUCCCCCUUUUCCCUCUGCUCCCCAGGGGCCCCAGUACUACACUGACACCCUUUUCCAUCUCUUUGUUGCUUUCUUUCUCCGCACCACGUCUCCCCACUCCCCUGGCUACAGCCCAGUCUUAGAGCUGGGGACCUUGAAGGGCUGGAAGAUUUGACCCUCGGAGCCUCCUGGGUGGCCAGUGACCCCGAGCACAGGGACUGGCCAGGUGGCUGGCGCCCGUGGGUGUACCUUUGUAACGGGGCGAAGCUGUGAGUCCUUUCAUCUGCGGAGAGUCCCCACUUUCAGUGACAGAUGCCAACCAGGUAUCUCCAAGGCCCUGCCUGAGCUGGAGUUGGUUAGAAAAACAGAAGUUUCUGGAAUCUGAGUCGCCAGGGCCAGCGCUGAGCCCCCCUUCACCCACAGUCCUGGGUCCAGUUCUUCAGACGAGUUGUUUACUGGCAGCUGGGUCUGUGGGAAAUAAGUGAAGCAGAAGAAGUAAGUUCAGCGGUGUGUGGAUGUUACAAAAAUAUACCUACAAGCUUUGGGGCCAUGGAUCUUCUUAAUCUGAGCAGAAUCGUUCAUCUCUGUGUUCAUCUCACAGAGGUUACAGGCAUAUCCACUUAUGCAAGACGAGACCUCCUCUUCGAAUGGAGUGCCCCCAUACACGGAGGGUUAGCGCUGGGCUCAGAUCUGUUUCUCACAUAUUCUACACAGUGCAGAGCUCAGCACAUUUGCACCCAGGGUCCCGCUACACUGGGAUUUAAAGUGAGACAUACAGGACAUAUUUAUCUGUGGAAAUACAGAAUGCAUCCAUUUUAGUUUAGCUUAAUAAUUUGAAAAACAAACUCUCUUUCCUUUUACUCCUGUCUUGUUUUGCUGUUUUCUUCUCUUCCAUCACCCCUAAAUUUUCUCUCUUUUUUCCUGACAAGGACCCUGAUCCAGUCUCCCCCUCAAAGCGUCCCACUCACCGGCUGAUUCGGGCCAGGAUCCACCUCUGCUCUGCAAACCCUGGCCCCUUCCUCUGCUGCCCUGGACCCCAGCGUGGCCAGGGGCUGCUGCUUUUCCUGUGCAGUCUUCCCAGGCCACUGGCCCCAGCUGUGUUCAGGCUCCGGUGCAGGACUGGCGCUGGUCUGGCGGGAGGCUGUGAGGUAGGGCAGGGUCCUCCUUUCUCUGUAGGGCUAGGGGUGGGGUACACAGCAGUUCUGCCCUCUCAGGACCAAGCGACUCCCGUGGGGUGACCCCUCUAGUAGAUAUCUUUAGACAGACGAUGGGCUCCACCAUCCUGUUUGCUCCCUUCUUUCAUGGUGGGUACCAUUAUCUGGGGAGAAAAUAAUGUUUGGAGGGUCCCAGGUUCUCAGAGCUUCUAGGCCAGGGGCGCCCUCUCAGUGGCCCUUUUAAUCAUUUCCCUGAGCUGGAGUUGAACUCCAGCCUGGGCCAACACUGCUUUCUAGAAAGGCUUGGGGUGGGGGCUUGUUCCCUGGCCCAGCCGCUGCACCACCCAGGAGGUGAGGUGGGGUGCAGACCCCAGGGCUGGGGGCAAGUUCAUUCUGUCCCCUCUAAUCAUCUCUGGGAGAAGCCUCAGACCUCCAUAACCUGUCAUCUUCAAAUUGUUCCUAUUCUCCGCUUCUUUGUGACGCAAAGACUAAGCCCGGGUCUCAGAAAAAAGGCCUGUGUCCCCUCCCUCACAGGUACCCGGGAGCCACUGGGAACUGGGGACAAUUCUCCAGGCAGUUAGAAACCCACAGAGCUGAACCAGGCCUGCCUGCCGAAACAGCUUCCGCCUUAAGCUUAAAUGUCUGUCUUUCUCUAACUUCUUCCUAAAUUAGGCUGCCUCAAAGCCAGGACAGGGCAGGGAAAGCAGGAGGGUGGCAGUCAGAGCCUGGUGCCUGUACAGCUCGGCUCUUCAGGACAGCCCAGCGCCGUGACUUUUCCAUAAAUAAAAGGCCCAGCCCCACCGUUCCCAUGUCCUUUUGGGCCCUAAUUUAUAAGCUACAGAAAAUCAUAUACUCAGCCGCCAUGCUUCGUAACACCAUUAUUUAUGGCAGGGGAGGAGACUUCUUUUUUUUUUUUUUUUGCCCGAAGAGGAUAUUUAUUACAGGUAAAGCCCACGGCACACUCCACACGUCUGACA
rnacentral:lncRNA from 1 species